rnacentral:rRNA from 1 species
AUGGGGGCUGCAAGAACUGGCGGCUCGGAUAACUGCCUCUUCAAAUCCUCAAAAGCAGUAUUAGCAGCAUUACUCCAGACAAAGGUGUCUGCCUUCUUCAUCAGUUGGUACAGCGGUAGGGCCUUCUCACCUAACCGGCUUAUGAACCGGCUUAAGGCGGCAACACGACCCGCCAAUCACCGAACAUCAUUGAUACAUGCCGGUUUAGCCAAAGAAGUGAUUGCCUUAAUCUUCUCCGGAUUAGCCUCGAUGCCCCGGUUUGAGACGAAGAAUCCCAAAAGCUUGCCUGCAGGCACACCAAAUACACACUUCUCCGGGUUAAGCAUCAUUUUGUAA